AGAAACUGAGAUGUGAGAACCCCUCUACUACUCGUACUAGUAGUCUAGUGUACGUUACAAAGGUGUGGAGCAGUAACUUCUAACGUAAGCUUUCGAGAGGAGAGAGACAUAGACCAUAAGAUUGAAAAGCCGAACAAAACAUUAAUUUUCCCAUUCCCGUUAGAACUCCAUACCUUUUUCUCUCUCCUACAUUUUCCCGCUUCUUCUUCUUCCUAAAACUAAACCCUAAUUCCAAACAAAUCUUACAAAUCUCUGAUUUUUUCAAAUUUUCUUCUUUUCUCCUUAUCUGAUCAUCUGUUAGCGGUUACAAUUUCUCAGAAUUUUGAGAUGAUUGAGGUGAAGAAAGAUGAUGAUGGGUCGAAUUUAGGGUCUCCUGAUGGUGUUACGAUUGCUUCGAGUUCAUCGUUGUCAAGUAGCAGUUGUGAUAAUGUGACUCCGAGAUCGACUCCAUUGCACGGGAGGAUAAGUGGCGCAACAAGACGGUCAUCAAAGGGAGGAUGGACUGAGGAAGAGGACAACCUUCUAACAGCCGCUGUGAGGAAGUUCAAUGGAAAGAAUUGGAAAAAAAUAGCUGAGCAUUUUCCGGAAAGGACAGAUGUGCAAUGUCUACAUCGGUGGCAAAAAGUACUUAAUCCUGAAUUGGUUAAAGGACCUUGGACAAAGGAGGAAGAUGAUUGUAUCACUGAGAUGGUUCAGAAACAUGGUUGCAGAAGCUGGUCUGUUAUUGCAAAGUGUCUGCCUGGUCGGAUAGGCAAGCAAUGUCGGGAGAGAUGGCACAACCAUCUUGACCCUGCAAUAAAGAAAGAUGCCUGGACAGAGGAGGAAGAAUCGCUUCUUAUUUACUACCACCAGAUAUAUGGCAACAAGUGGGCAGAGAUAGCAAGAUUUCUUCCAGGAAGGACAGACAAUGCCAUAAAGAAUCAUUGGAAUAGCUCUCUAAAGAAGAGGUUAGAUGCGAAAUUGCUUCCUGGUUUUACACAGAGCAUAAACAAUAAACCUAAAACAAACUGCUCCGAGAGGAAUUUAGAUUUCUCUAGAGUCAAAGCAGCUGCACUUUUUUAUGAAGAUAGCUGCACAACAUCAACUUAUGGUACUGAAUCUUGCUCUACCACCUUAUCCCUUGGAAUCGCUCCUGGAAAAGCUUAUGGAUCAGAAGCUAAACUAAAUCGACCAAGCAGGGUGUUGCUUGAUGAAAAUGGUUCUGCCCUUGGUGAAGUAAAUCUUCAGCUAUCUAGUACCGUGACUGUAGAUACUUCUUUAAAUUUUUCUACAUUGACAAAUUACAAGGCUACUCCUCUAACUAUGUUAUCACUGGACUCUCCUAAAAGGCCAAGGAGUGAUAGCAUCACUGUUGAUCAGGUUUUUGUAAAUUUAGACAAGUCGUUCCUGAGUUUAGCAAUGUCUGGUUUCAGCAAAGAUGAUUCUCACGGCAAGAAGAAAAACAAAGUUAAAGGUACCUCAUUUUCUGAAGAUAUCAGUUACGGUAAUCUGUGUUAUGAGCCACCUGGAUUAAGAAUUUCCGAGACUGGCCAGGGAUAUGAAGUUGGCUAUAAAGAGAGCCAUGAUGCACAAACUAAUAGCCCAUUGUAUUUCUCUACACCUACUAGCUGUGUAAGUACCCCUGCCAGUGGCAGUAGUCCAGAAUCAAUACUAAGGAAUUCUGCUAUGAGCUUUAGCAUGCCGUCUAUUAUAAGGAGGAGAAAUUCAGGGAAAAGCAGUUCUGUCAGGAAAGAGGUUGGAAGUGGAGGUGUUAGAAGAGCUGAGACUACAGCUACUCACAAGCCUGUGGAGAGAUGCCUUGAACCUUCUUUUGACAUGGAAGCAGAUCUUGGUGGUCUUAAAUGCGGCAACUCUAUUGCAACUUCGGGUGAUGGUGUUUGCUUGAAGACAAUGUCAAUAUCAUGAUAUAGGCCUAUUGGUAACUUCUAAACUAUAGAGUAUGCAUUUCCUCUUCCCCGAAAUUGAGAUGUUGUCUAAAAUCAAUCCUACAUGAACUACUCACUGAAUUGAUAUGGUGUUGUGGUCCUCUGAGACCUGACAUCAUACAAAAAGACUUUGAAGCUGUUUUUGGCGGCUCUUGGAUAGGUAGCAACUAGUACGAGGAAUUGAGGUCAAGAGUCAAGCUAUGUAGGUAAAUCUGGAAUCAAAAGGCAGGUCUCGAAAUAUGAUCGUGACAAUAAAGAAUAUCAAGUUUCCUUGAACAGUAGAGAACAAAGUUUUUGCUGACACGUUACUAGAAGAUGUACAGAUUACCUUUCAUCGUGAAUUUUAGAUGUAGGGAAGAAAGAAGUUCAAGAUUGAUAAAAUACAAGGGGUUAGCGAAGCUUUCUCUUGGUAUUCUGUUAGCUUGCUAAAGCAUUAUUACCCACUUUUCUUAUAUUGACCAUUUGGUGUUACUGUAACCUGUUUGGCUCACCAGUGAUGAACUUUGGAAUAAAAGAAAGAGUAUCGAAUAAUUCUGCUGCUUCAUAACAGUUCUUCCUCCAUUGUUCGAGAAAAAGCAUGAAGAAAUGUUGUUAUACUUCACCUCCAAAGCAAGGUCGCUUGGUCCAAGAACGAUCACACCUUGUUUUUUUUUCCUGAUCCAUAUGAGCCAUGAAGGCAAUACAAAGUACAAAGAAGGGGAAGGGGGAUUCAAACCUAUGACCUAUCUUUCACAGCACUUCAAUCUUAACCACUAGGCCAAACAUCCUUGGUUACGAUGGCACCUUGUGAUUACAUGUCAGAUCAUUUCACUUAGCCAAGUGCGAAGUUGGAUUGUAAUGAACUCAUGAGGUCUGAUUCUUAUUAGACGAUGCAAAACUACAUUUUAAACUUUUUCCAACAA